AUUGAACGCUGGCGGCAGGCUUAACACAUGCAAGUCGAGCGGUGUGAUGGUGCUUGCACUAUCACUUAGCGGCGGACGGGUGAGUAAUGCUUAGGAAUCUGCCUAUUAGUGGGGGACAACAUCUCGAAAGGGAUGCUAAUACCGCAUACGCCCUACGGGAGAAAGCAGGGGAUCACUUGUGACCUUGCGCUAAUAGAUGAGCCUAAGUCGGAUUAGCUAGUUGGUGGGGUAAAGGCCUACCAAGGCGACGAUCUGUAGCGGGUCUGAGAGGAUGAUCCGCCACACUGGGACUGAGACAUGGCCCAGACUCCUACGGGAGGCAGCAGUGGGGAAUAUUGGACAAUGGGGGGAACCCUGAUCCAGCCAUGCCGCGUGUGUGAAGAAGGCCUUAUGGUUGUAAAGCACUUUAAGCGAGGAGGAGGCUCUUUUGGUUAAUACCCAAGAUGAGUGGACGUUACUCGCAGAAUAAGCACCGGCUAACUCUGUGCCAGCCGCCGCAGUAAUAC
rnacentral:rRNA from 1 species